UACGUAGGGUGCGAGCGUUAAUCGGAAUUACUGGGCGUAAAGCGUGCGCAGGCGGUUUGCUAAGACAGGUGUGAAAGCCCCGGGCUUAACCUGGGAAUUGCGCUUGUGACUGGCAGACUGGAGUGUGGCAGAGGGAGGUGGAAUUCCACGUGUAGCAGUGAAAUGCGUAGAGAUGUGGAGGAACACCGAUGGCGAAGGCAGCCUCCUGGGCC
rnacentral:rRNA from 1 species